rnacentral:lncRNA from 1 species
UAUUGUAAUAUGUUGAUCAUGAGUUUCCAUAAUACUACCAGUGACCUCAUUAGUUCAAAAUAGCCAGAUUUUCCCAUUAUCAUUGCUAACUGCAUGAUCCAUCUGUAAUUGACUUCUCACUAUAUCUAUAUGAGAGUUAUUAGCAAAUGGUUCCAGAAUAGCAAUAAUAGAUAGCUGAUGAAGUUUCUUGAGAGUUUGAA